rnacentral:rRNA from 1 species
GUAGGUGGCAAGCGUUGUCCGGAAUUAUUGGGCGUAAAGCGCGCGCAGGCGGUCCUUUAAGUCUGAUGUGAAAGCCCACGGCUCAACCGUGGAGGGUCAUUGGAAACUGGGGGACUUGAGUACAAAAGAGGAAAGCGGAAUUCCAAGUGUAGCGGUGAAGUGCGUAGAGAUUUGGAGGAACACCAGUGGCGAAGGCGGCUUUCUGGUCUGUAACUGACGCUGAGGCGCGAAAGCGUGGGGAGCAAACAGGAUUAGAUACCCUGGUAGUCCACGCCGUAAACGAUGAGUGCUAAGUGUUAGGGGGUUUCCCGCCCCCCUUAGUGCUGCAGCUAACGCAUUAAGCACUCCGCCUGGGGAGUACGGCCGCAAGGCUG